rnacentral:tRNA from 1 species
GGCGGAGUAGCUCAGGUGGUUAGAGCAGCGGAAUCAUAAUCCGCGUGUCGGGGGUUCAAAUCCCUCCUCCGCUA